rnacentral:rRNA from 1 species
UGGGGAAUAUUGCACAAUGGGGGAAACCCUGAUGCAGCGACGCCGCGUGAGCGAAGAAGGUUUUCGAAUCGUAAAGCUCUGUCCUAUGAGAAGAUAAUGACGGUAUCAUAGGAGGAAGCCCCGGCUAACUACGUGCCAGCAGCCGCGGUAAUACGUAGGGGGCUAGCGUUGUCCGGAAUCACUGGGCGUAAAGGGUUCGCAGGCGGAAUAACAAGUCAGAUGUGAAAGGCAUGGGCUCAACCCAUGUAAGCAUUUGAAACUGUAAUUCUUGAGAAGUGGAGAGGUAAGUGGAAUUCCUCGUGUAGCGGUGAAAUGCGUAGAUAUUAGGAGGAAUACCUGUGGCGACGGCGACUUACUGGACACAAAUCUGACGCUGAGGAACGAAAGCGUGGGUAGCAAACAGG